rnacentral:rRNA from 1 species
GAUGAACGCUGGCGGCGUGCCUAAUACAUGCAAGUCGAGCGAACAGACGAGGAGCUUGCUCCUCUGACGUUAGCGGCGGACGGGUGAGUAACACGUGGAUAACCUACCUAUAAGACUGGGAUAACUUCGGGAAACCGGAGCUAAUACCGGAUAAUAUAUUGAACCGCAUGGUUCAAUAGUGAAAGACGGUUUUGCUGUCACUUAUAGAUGGAUCCGCGCCGCAUUAGCUAGUUGGUAAGGUAACGGCUUACCAAGGCAACGAUGCGUAGCCGACCUGAGAGGGUGAUCGGCCACACUGGAACUGAGACACGGGCCAAACUCCUACGGGAGGCAGCAGUAGGGAAUCUUCCGCAAUGGGCGAAAGCCUGACGGAGCAACGCCGCGUGAGUGAUGAAGGUCUUCGGAUCGUAAAACUCUGUUAUUAGGGAAGAACAAAUGUGUAAGUAACGAUGCACGUCUUGACGGUACCUAAUCAGAAAGCCACGGCUAACUACGUGC